CCGACACAGCCUGCGCAGACUCCCCCUCGCCCGCCGUGGAGUCUCCAGGGUUCCGGUGCUGAGCGGCGCUCGGAUCCGCGGCCGCUAGAUGGCGCGCGCGCCCGCUCUAUCGCCCCGUCCCGGAGGAGUCCGGGCGCGCACCGGAGUCUCCAGCGAGCCUCCGGCUCCAGGCAGGCACCCCUAAGGAGCUGCACGUUCGCGUAACAGAGGCAGACGGUCUGCGGGAUCUCCUUCUCUCGGGGGGUUCUGGUCUCACAAUCAGAAAAUCAUGGGGUAAAGGGGAGAUCGGGGACCCUGCCAGAAUCUCCAAGCUCUGGGAGGAGCCUCCCCAGUGCUUCCCUGCCUGGGCGAUGGCCGUGUGUCCGUUUGGCGCAGGGCCAGAGCUGAGGCGUGCGGGCCCCCGCCCAUGACUCCCGCGGGUCCUGCUCUUCAGCCCCAGCUAGGGUUCCGGAGCCGACCCCUCCCCGCCCUUUGCCUGAGCGCAGCCCAGCCCAGCCAGGAUCCGUUUCAGGACGCUUGCGGCCAUGGCUAAAGAUAGGACACCUCGCCAUCGGCUAAAAAUACGACCCCCAGCCCGGGAGAGGACGCAGGUCGGCGGGAGGGCAGUCUUGGAUCCCGUGGGUGGGGUGGGGCUCGGGCGCAGGGUGAAGGGCGGAACCCGGAGUUCGGGCUCGGGAUGCACGGCGCCCUGCAGGCGAAGGUGGAGCGGGCGUGGCUGCCGAGACCCAGGCGCAGGCGGGAAACACCGUAGAGCCCAAGGCUCCCGGGAAAGGACCUACGCGGAGCUAUUCAUCAGAUACUUGAGCGUCUACGAGGUGCCAGGCGUUGUUCUUGUUGCUGGGUAUUCGGCCCCCUCUGGAUCAGGACCUCCCGUCCAAUGAAAGGAGAUGGAGGAAACCCAAGUCCUCAAGUACAUAGUGAUACCCUUCCCGAUGGUCAGUGCUAAGAAGAGUGGGGCAAAAGAAAGGGAGAUUACCCUGAAUUAUCUAGGUGGGUCCCAUGUAAUAUCAAGAGUUCUUAAAAGGGGAAGAGGGAGACAGAAGAGAAAAGUCAGAGAAAGAGCUGCGUGGAUGGAAGAUGGGCCAGAGAAACGCUCCUUUGAAGAUGGAGGACAGGGCCACAAACAAAGGAAUGUGAGUGGCCUCUAGAAGCUGGAAGAGACAAGAACAUAUUCUCCCCCGGGGCUUCCAGAGGAGCAAGGCCUUGCUGACACCUCGAUCUUAGCCCAGUGGAACCCACACUGGACUUCUAACCUACAGAAUUGCACCUUAAUAAAUUUGUGUUGUUUUAAGCCUCCGAA